UUGAGAGGAAGAGAGACAGAGACAGAGACAGAGACACAGAGACAGAGAGACACAGAGGCACACAGAGAGAACAGUGUGACUUGAACUGGCUGAAUUACUUCUAACUCUAAACAGCUCCAGUCCAAUGAUUGUCUUAGAACUGAAGCCAACACUUGAAACUCAAAAAUAGGAGGACAAUGUGUAAUGUUUAAAAGAAGGCUGCAGGCAGAAGAUUCAAGGAGAACACAGCAAAUAAAGAAGCAAAGACAAACAUCAACACACCAGAGAAUUUUCGUUUUGACUCCUUGUUUCAGAGGUUUCAGGCCAUGUUUGUUGGUCCUGUUGUUCUGGGCCCCUGGUAAAGCAUAGCAACGUGGUGGGGGUGUAUGCAGAAAAGAAUUGCUUGCCUCCAGUGUGUGUGUAGCCAGAGACCGAAAGGAGGAAACCUUCCCGAUGACUUACUUCUUCCAAGUAGGUUGGCCCCACCUCCUCAAGUUUCUACAGUUUCCCAAUAGCCCUGCCAGAUGGGGUCCAAAUCUUUGGGGCCAUUCCAAAUUCAAACUUUAACAGGCUUCAUUCCUACAACCACGGUGAAUUCAAGUUUGCCUAUAGGAAUGAAAGUAGAAGUAAAUUUGUCCUGGAGUCACUUUAUAAGUACUCGGCCAGCUAGCACUGUGAUUUUAGCCUUGCAAAAACUGGAGCAGAAAAACCAGUCAAGCCAACUUACACUCCCAAGGCACAGAACUAUGAGAUAAUAACUAUGUUGUUUCAAGCUGCUAAAUUAUGAUUUGUUGCAGUGGCAUAGAAAAAAAAUCCAACAAUAAGGAGUGUAUUUGUUGACUCAGGAAAUAACUUUCAUAGGUUGGAGGAAGAUAAAUAAGGAAGACUCAGAAAUGCAGUAUGCCACAGCUAGAAAGGCUAUGUUUUGUCAGCAAAAUUGACUCUCCACUCUUUCCAUAAGGGCCACAAACUUCAAAAGGCUGUUUCCACUUUUAUUAAAAGACAUUAAUGACAUAUAAAAAUUGUAUAUAAAAAUUUAAAAAUCUGUGUCAUGAAAUGAAAUUUUAUUGGAAUAUAUAUAUGUAUAUAUAUAUAUAUAUAUAUAUAUAUAUAGAGAGAGAGAGAGAGAGAGAGAGAAACAAUAAAAAGAGAAAAUGAACUUCAGAAAACCAUAAAAAUGAAAAUGAAUGACAGAAAACAUUAAACUAACAACUCUGAGAGGCUUAAAUUAUCUGGUAAAAUACUUCAUAUGUAGUUAAAGUGAAAAGACAGAGGUAAAACAAUAGAAAGUAAUUUUUGGACAAAGAACCUACCAAGCUCUAAGCAUUUGUGCAAAACACUGUGUGCCCAGUAAACCAAUUCCCCUUCAUAAACUUUAAAUAUGGAGAGCUAAUCUCCCAACUAAACCAAUCAAUCAACAGUAAGAUCAUUUUUUAAAUUGUUUGUCAAAUACAAAUGAAGAAUGAAUAUUAAAAAUAGUAAUAAAACCUUAAUCAUGUGAUUUGUUACUUAAAUAUUAAGAAUUGUUGUUAUGCAACAAAACCAUAACUACCUUAUAAUUAAUACGGUUGUGAUUGUUUCCCCAAACACAAAGUAUACAAAUUAACUUCUUAAACUUCAGUUCCAUUAAAGGAAAAAUGGAGACAAAAGCCAUCCUCAGCCAUAUGAAGCCACAUCUUAAAAAUGGGGGCAAAAUGCCACAAAAAAGGAAAUUGGAUAUGGUAAUCCAUUUUGAAGUGCCUAAUUGCUCACAGAAAAAAAUGUGACAUAGUAUAUUUAUUAAUUACUUAAAAACUAAUAACUAAUGAAUUUUAAAUGUUAUUAUUUAUUUAUUUAUGCCCAAAAUGCUACUCCCCCACCCCUGUUAUAGAGUCUACCUUCCCCUUCUCCUCUGAGAGUUACCCCUGGGUAUCCCUCUACCCUGGCUCAUUGAAUUUCUGCAGGAUUAGGCACAUCCUUUCCCACUGAGGCAAGACAAGGCAGCCAUGUCAGGGAACUAUACCACAGUCAGGUAACAGCAUUUGAGAUAGCCUCUGCUCCAUUUGCUCAGGACUCUCAUAAAGACCAAGUUGCAUAUCUCUUACAUAUAUAUGUAUGGGUGUGGGAAGCCGCCCCCACAUUCACCGUCACAAGAUGGCGCUGACAGCUGUGUUCUAAGUGGUA
rnacentral:lncRNA from 1 species